rnacentral:antisense_RNA from 1 species
CUUCAGCGAACCAAGCCACAACGGACGGUCCCGUUCCUGGCCGUAGGUCGCCAGAAUCGCGUUAGCUUC